rnacentral:rRNA from 1 species
AGUGAACGCUGGCGGUAGGCCUAACACAUGCAGGUCGAACGGCAGCACAGUAAGAGCUUGCUCUUACGGGUGGCGAGUGGCGGACGGGUGAGGAAUACAUCGGAAUCUACUUUUUCGUGGGGGAUAACGUAGGGAAACUUACGCUAAUACCGCAUACGACCUACGGGUGAAAGCAGGGGAUCUUCGGACCUUGCGCGAUUGAAUGAGCCGAUGUCGGAUUAGCUAGUUGGCGGGGUAAAGGCCCACCAAGGCGACGAUCCGUAGCUGGUCUGAGAGGAUGAUCAGCCACACUGGAACUGAGACACGGUCCAGACUCCUACGGGAGGCAACAGUGGGGAAUAUUGGACAAUGGGCGCAAGCCUGAUCCAGCCAUACCGCGUGGGUGAAGAAGGCCUUCGGGUUGUAAAGCCCUUUUGUUGGGAAAGAGAAGCAGCAGGUUAAUACCCCGCUGUUCUGACGGUACCCAAAGAAUAAGCACCGGCUAACUUCGUG